GAUGAACGCUAGCGAUAGGCUUAACACAUGCAAGUCGAGGGGCAGCAUGGUCUUAGCUUGCUAAGGCUGAUGGCGACCGGCGCACGGGUGCGUAACGCGUAUGCAACUUGCCUCACAGAGGGGGAUAACCCGUCGAAAGACGGACUAAUACCGCGUACACUUGGGAUAGGGCAUCCUGACCCAAGGAAAUGAAAUUCGCUGUGAGAUAGGCAUGCGUCCCAUUAGCUAGUUGGUGAGGUAACGGCUCACCAAGGCGACGAUGGGUAGGGGAACUGAGAGGUUGAACCCCCACACUGGUACUGAGACACGGACCAGACUCCUACGGGAGGCAGCAGUGAGGAAUAUUGGUCAAUGGGCGAGAGCCUGAACCAGCCAAGUCGCGUGAAGGAUGACUGUCUUAUGGAUUGUAAACUUCUUUUAUACGGGAAUAACAAGAGCCACGUGUGGCUCCCUGCAUGUACCGUAUGAAUAAGCAUCGGCUAACUCCGUG
rnacentral:rRNA from 1 species